ACUCCUACGGGAGGCAGCAGUGGGGAAUCUUGGACAAUGGGCGCAAGCCUGAUCCAGCCAUGCCGCGUGAGUGAUGAAGGCCCUAGGGUCGUAAAGCUCUUUCGCCAGAGAUGAUAAUGACAGUAUCUGGUAAAGAAACCCCGGCUAACUCCGUGCCAGCAGCCGCGGUAAUACGGAGGGGGUUAGCGUUGUUCGGAAUUACUGGGCGUAAAGCGCGCGUAGGCGGACUAGUCAGUUAGAGGUGAAAUCCCAGGGGCUCAACCCUGGAACUGCCUUUAAUACUGCUAGUCUUGAGUUCGAGAGAGGUGAGUGGAAUUCCGAGUGUAGAGGUGAAAUUCGUAGAUAUUCGGAGGAACACCAGUGGCGAAGGCGGCUCACUGGCUCGAUACUGACGCUGAGGUGCGAAAGUGUGGGGAGCAAACAGGAUUAGAUACCCUGGUAGCG
rnacentral:rRNA from 1 species